CUACGGGGGGCAGCAGUGGGGAAUAUUGCACAAUGGGCGCAAGCCUGAUGCAGCCAUGCCGCGUGUAUGAAGAAGGCCUUCGGGUUGUAAAGUACUUUCAGCGGGGAGGAAGGGAGUAAAGUUAAUACCUUUGCUCAUUGACGUUACCCGCAGAAGAAGCACCGGCUAACUCCGUGCCAGCAGCCGCGGUAAUACGGAGGGUGCAAGCGUUAAUCGGAAUUACUGGGCGUAAAGCGUACGCAGGCGGUUUGUUAAGUCAGAUGUGAAAUCCCCGGGCUCAACCUGGGAACUGCAUCUGAUACUGGCAAGCUUGAGUCUCGUAGAGGGGGGCAGAAUUCCAGGUGUAGCGGUGAAAUGCGUAGAGAUCUGGAGGAAUACCGGUGGCGAAGGCGGCCCCCUGGACGAAGACUGACGCUCAGGUGCGAAAGCGUGGGGAGCAAUCAGGAUUAGAUACCCGGGUAGUC
rnacentral:rRNA from 1 species